GACGAACGCUGGCGGCGUGCUUAACACAUGCAAGUCGAACGGAAAGGCCCUGCUUUUGUGGGGUGUUCGAGUGGCGAACGGGUGAGUAACACGUGAGUAACCUGCUCUUUACUUUGGGAUAACUUCAGGAAACUGGGGCUAAUACCGGAUAGGAGCUCCUGCUGCAUGGUGAGGGUUGGAAAGUUUCGGCGGUUGGUGAUGGACUCGCGGCUUAUCUGCUUUUUUGUGGGGUAGUGGCUUACCUAGGCUUUGACGGGUAGCCGGCCUGAGAGGGUGACCGGCCACAUUGGGACUGAGAUACGGCCCAGACUCCUACGGGAGGCAGCAGUGGGGAAUAUUGCACAAUGGGCGGAAGCCUGAUGAAGCAACGCCGCGUGCGUGAUGACGGCCUUCGGGUUGUAAACCGCUUUCGCCUGUGACGAAGCGUGAGUGACGGUAAUGGGUAAAGAAGCACCGGCUAACUACGUG
rnacentral:rRNA from 1 species